GACGAACCGUGCAAACGUUAUUCGGAAUCACUGGGCUUAAAGGGCUCGUAGGCGGCCAACUAAGUCGGAUGUGAAAUCCCCAGGCUUAACCUGGGAACUGCAUCCGAUACUGGAUGGCUUGAAUCCGGGAGAGGGAUGUGGAAUUCCAGGUGUAGCGGUGAAAUGCGUAGAUAUCUGGAGGAACACCGGUGGCGAAGGCGACAUCCUGGACCGGUAUUGACGCUGAGGCGCGAAAGCCAGGGGAGCAAACAGG
rnacentral:rRNA from 1 species